UACAGAGGUCCCGAGCGUUUGUUCGGAUUCAUUGGGCGUAAAGGGUGCGUAGGCGGUCUGCUAAGUUUGGUGUGAAAUCCCGGGGCUCAACCCUGGAAUGGCAUUGAAUACUGGCGGACUAGAGUACCGGAGAGGAAACUGGAAUUUACGGUGUAGCAGUGAAAUGCGUAGAGAUCGUAAGGAAGACCAGUGGCGAAGGCGAGUUUCUGGACGGUAACUGACGCUGAGGCACGAAGGCCAGGGGAGCAAACGGG
rnacentral:rRNA from 1 species